GCUCGAGUGGCGGAAUUGGUAGACGCAGCAGACUCAAAAUCUGCCGCCCUUACGGGUGUAUGGGUUCGACCCCCAUCUCGAGUA
rnacentral:tRNA from 1 species